GGCGUGCCUAACACAUGCAAGUCGUACGAGAAAUCCCGAGCUUGCUUGGGAGAGUAAAGUGGCGCACGGGUGAGUAACGCGUGGGUAACCCACCUUCGAAUCUGGGAUAACUCCGCGAAAGCGGUGCUAAUACCGGAUAAGACCACAGCCGUUUCGGCGGCAGAGGUAAAAGCUGACCUCUCCAUGGAAGUUAGCGUUCGAGGACGGGCCCGCGUCCUAUCAGCUUGUUGGUGGGGUAAAAGCCUACCAAGGCAGCGACGGGUAGCUGGUCUGAGAGGAUGAUCAGCCACACUGGAACUGGAACACGGUCCAGACUCCUACGGGAGGCAGCAGUGAGGAAUUUUGCGCAAUGGGGGAAACCCUGACGCAGCAACGCCGCGUGGGUGAAGAAGGCUUUCGGGUCGUAAAGCCCUGUCAGGUGGGAAGAACCGUUUCGAUACUAAUAAUGUCGAAGCCUGACGGUACCACCAGAGGAAGCACCGGCCAACUCCGUGCCAGCAGCCGCGGUAAUACGGAGGGUGCAAGCGUUGUUCGGAAUUAUUGGGCGUAAAGAGCGUGUAGGCGGUUGUUUAAGUCUGAUGUGAAAGCCCUGGGCUCAACCCAAGAAGUGCAUUGGAUACUGGACAACUUGAGUA
rnacentral:rRNA from 1 species